ACCUCAAGUCAUGUGAGAGUACUCGCUGAACUUAAGCAUAUCACUAAGCGGAGGAAAAGAAACUAACAAGGAUUCCCCUAGUAACGGCGAGUGAAGCGGGAAGAGCACAAAUUUAAAAUCUACCUGGUUUUCAGGUCGAGUUGUAAUUUGAAGAUACGUUUUUGACGUUCAGGGUUGGACUAAAUCCUUUGGGAUAAGGUAUCAUGGAGGGUGAGAAUCCCGUAUAUACCAACCAUAGGGAUGUUAUUUAAUACGUUUCUAAGAGUCGAGUUGUUUGGGAAUGCAGCUCUAAAUGGGUGGUAAAUUUCACCUAAUGCUAAAUAUAAGCGAGAGACCGAUAGCGAACAAGUACAGUGAUGGAAAGAUGAAAAGAACUUUGAAAAGAGAGUUAAAUAGUACGUGAAAUUGUUGAAAGGGAAACGAUUGAAGUCAGUCAUGCCGGUGGGAAUCAACUUAGGGGAAACUCUAAGUGCACUUCUUCGCUUGGCAGGUCAACGUCGAUUUUGGAUGUCAUAAAAUGAUUGGGGGAAGGUAGCUCCUUAGGGAGUGUUAUAGCCCUUGGUAGAUGUGAUGUCUGGGAUCGAGGAUUGCAAUGGAUACCCUUUGGGGCUAGCUGCCUGAUCUCUAAUUGGUAUUGGGUUACGGAUAGCAUGCUGACCGUGAUCUAAUUAUUGGUUAAAAGGUUAGAGCGUGCAUAAAUUCAUUAAGGACGUUGACGUAAUGGCUUUAAACGACCCGUCUUGAAACACGGACCAAGGAGUCUAACAUGUAUGCGAGUGUU
rnacentral:rRNA from 1 species